GGAAGCUCCUGCAGGGGGACUCCGCGGAGGCCUGGGGCCAGGACUCCAGUGAGCCCAACCUGGUGUUUUCCAGUGUUUUCAGGAGGCAUUCAUUCUCAGGGGCCCACCUGGGCUUGUGGAAGCCCGAGAGUGUGUAUCUCCUUGAAUUUUGCACCCUGGAUGCCUUCCUUGCUCACCCUGGACCCAGCCCUGCCCUGCUUUUGAGCAAUUUGUAUUCUUGGUUUAACAAAGUGUGGAGAGGACCCUCAAGGAUCUCAGAACCUACUGGAUGAGGCAGGAAAAUAAAAAGACACAGAGUGUGCUGUGUGAUCAGCAGAGAUGAAGGUCUUCGGUUCAGGCUCCACAACUGAUUGAUGCUGUUUUCCUGUUAGUAUCUCUUUUUCAUCAUGCACGAUCCUCCAUAGUGAUGGAAUGGAGACAGCUUCUCAGAGAAAGCACAGCUUUGGAAGCUUCAGCCAGACACCGUACAAGGGACAGGGGAGACUGAGAUGAAGAACACUCGGUGCUUCUUCCCAAGGCACUCGCAAUCUCGGAGAAGACAGAUGUGUACUCACACAGAUGCAUAUGCUACAGCACUGUGUGAUGAUGCUAUACAUGCACAAAGUGACCGGGAACAGAGCGGCCGUCCCUGGCGACUCAGGGGAGGCAUCACACGAGAGAUGACUUUAGAACCGGGCCUUUAAAGGAAACACAGGAUCUCUGCAGCAGUCAAGAAGGGGAAGAGAAGACUUGGUGUUAAAAAAUCAUGGGUUCAGGACAUACUGCCCCACAAUAUGGCACUUUGGCAUGUUGAAUAUUUUAAGCUAGAGGAAUUUGAGAAAACAGCAGAAGCAGGAAGGUCCCCUGAGGCGGUCCCCUGAAGUGGUCAUAAACUUUGGGAAGGACUCUGACCUUCUGAAGCAGGUCAUAAGACCCUCGUGUGAGAGUUGCCCUUCCUGUAGCUGGAGGAAAGGGGCAUCCUUAUCUCUCAAGACAAAAGGAGACAGAGAGGAAUCCAGAAAAACAAGCCUUGCUAAGCUUCCCCAGUUCACCACACUUACAUUGUACUCUCUGCCCUGUGAUAUUUCUCCAUGACUUUCCCCUCCUUAUCAAACCUAUUAUUAAAAACACUCCCAUUUAACUGUUUCUUCAGAUCCUCAUUUCCUUAUGAAGGCUCUCUCGUCACAUAAAACUUGUAUUAAAUAAAUUUGUAAGCUUUUUCUCUUGUUAAUCUGUCUUUUGUUACAGAGGCCCCAGUCAUAAAUGUAGGAGGUAUAUUAGUCUGAUCUCACACUGCUAAUAAAGACAGAGUAAUUUAUAAAGAAAAAGAAGUUUAAUGGGCUCAUAGUUUUACAUGGCUGAGGAGGCCUUACAAUCAUGGCGGAAGGCAAAGAAGGAGCAAAUAUACAUCUUACAUGGCUGCAGACAAGAGAGAGUGAGAGCCAAGAGAAAGGGGAAACCACUUAUAAAACCAUCAGAUCUCAUAAGACUUAUUCGCUACCACAGAACAGUGGAAACUGUCCCCAUGAUUCAAUUAUCUCCCACCAGGUCCCUCUCUCAACAUGUAGGAAUUAUGGGAACUACAAUUCAAGAUGAGAUUUGGGUGGGGACACAGCCAAACCAUAUCAGGAGGAUAGAAGGAAAAGAUGUUUUUUCCUCCCCUAAAAUAGUUUAGGGCAGCAAGUCAAUUUCAAUCACUUUUCAUCGUGUUUACCUCAAUGCAAAGAGAUCCAUGUGUGAAAGGUUUAUGAAAUUACAAAAUAUGUCAUUAAUUCUUUCAAUCAGGUGAUAAAUGUCUUCAACAUACCCAGCUCUGUGCUCUGGGUGUCUUGCAUGUGACAUUAGCUGCUAUUCGUAAAAACUGGGGGCGUCAGGCCACACAGAAAGCCCACGUCAUUUAUAUCUGGAGUCAGGCAAGCCGUCCACCCCUCACUGAGGCUGAUGCAGAAAUCUUCCAGGAAAGGGCUCUGCUUAUUUUCUGAGUCUCAAAUUCCCAGGGGUACCAACUGUGUUCUAGCUCAAGUUUUAGAGACAAGGAGAACAUAAAUCCAUCCAACUAUGGGGCCAGGGGAGUUCUGAUUUUGGUGUUUGCUCUUUAAUCAAUAGCAUUAUGCUUUUCUAUGGAAAGGUCUUAAUUUGAUACUUUCCCAGAGGAGUCAUUGGUUUGACGUGGACAUAUCACAAACUUCCUGACUACCAUGGAGACAGGGCCGGCUUCCCAAAGGAAUGGUGAUUCUGCUUUCUUUACUUUUCCUUUGUAUCAAAAGCCAGGAAUGAGCUUGGUUUUCAUCAUAGCUUCAAAG
rnacentral:lncRNA from 10 species